UGUCUUCCUCUAUCUCUCCCUGCCCCUCCCCUGCUCACUCUGUCUCUCUCUCUCUCUCUCUCUGUCUCUCUCUGUCUCUCAAAAAUAAAUAAACAUUAAAAAAAGAAAUUUUAAAGGGACUGUUUCAUCACAGCAGCAUUUCUUCACAAAAAUGAAAAUGAGGCUACAACUGAACAGCUGAAGAAAUAUGUCUAGAGAAAACAAACUUGUUUAAAAGUGUUAGCCUUUUGACAAGAACAAUUUCUCAAAAUGUUGAAGUCCUUGGGAGCAGUAUCAGUAGUCAAAAAACAAGGCAAAUGAUUUCACGUGGUUUUCCUUGGCUCUAGAUGAGUCAACAGAUCCUACUGUUACUCUUGGUUUCUUCAUGGAGUCAAUGUCUCGUUUGAAGUGACUGAAGAAUUAGCAUCAAUGAAUAGUCUAUUUAAAACAACGACAGCUGAGAAUAUUUUCAAAAAACUGAGGACAACCUGAAGUAUGAUCUGCUAAUAUCUGUUACAACUGAUGGUGGUAAGAAUAUUGUGGAGCAGAAAAAAACCUCACUGGACAAAUUUGCAAAGCUUAUGAAAUUGUAAGGUGUUUAAAGCCUGUGGUUGGUUAUUCAUUAUAUUAUUCGUCGGGUUCUUUGGGGAAAAAUACUUGAAUCUAUCAUGUGUUACUGAACCAUUAGAAUCAGCAGUGAACUUCACUCCCUCUUGUGGACUUCACCAUGAUCAAUUCCAUGAAUUUCUGUCAGAAAAAGAAACUGAAUAUUCUGAUGCCCUACCACACAAUAGUUUGAUGGCUCAGCAGUGGUGAAGUUUUCUUGUAAUUUUCUGAGUUCAGGGCUGACAUCGAAACUUUCCUGAAUGAGAAGAAUCAUUCUCAACUACUACUGAACACUGAAUAGCUUUGGAAAUUCGCUUUUGCUGCAGACUUGAUAAGGUUUUUUAAUGAAUUCAACCUAAAAUUACAGGGCAAACAGCUUGUUUGCAAACCUUAAAUUGUAGUUCAGUCAUUUCGACUACUAACGUUUGAGUCACGUCCAGUUACUUUAUAUACUUCCCGUGUACUGUCAGAAGUUGAAACAAAGGCAAGAUCUACAUUCCUACACAAAGGUCCUGUGGAUAUGAUUUCUAAAGAAAAACUACAGUUCUAACUGAUUUUGCAGCUCGGUGUGAAUGCAAAAGAAAUUUCGUAUUUCAAAAUCCAUUUACCUGUGCAACUAAGGAGUUUACACCAAACCUUCAAAUGGAAGCGAUUAAAAGGCAAAUAUCAAGACUCCAAUAUAAUCCUACAAGUGUCUUCUAAGAGAAGGAUAUGCUCAAUUAAAAUCAUGCUUGUGGAAUGAUAAUGGCAUUUGGCCAUAACUAUCUAUGUGAAAAGACGUUUUCAAAGGUGAAAUAUAUAAAAUCUUAUUACAGAAUCUGCAUUAGCAGAGGAACAUUUAUAACCAAUUUGAUGCGAGGGACCCUUAACUUUACAAAUAUUAUUCCACCCACCCCCCAAAAUCUGGUCUCAUUAGACCUUUAUUGUAGCCAACUAUUAUAUUUUGAAUUUCAUCAAUAAAAAUGGAAGUUUUGUUUUUUC